UACGGAGGGUGCGAGCGUUGUCCGGAAUCACUGGGCGUAAAGGGCGCGUAGGCGGCCUGAUAAGUAGGGGGUGAAAUCCUGAGGCUUAACCUCAGGGCUGCCUUCUAAACUGUCAGGCUCGAGCACAGUAGAGGCAGGUGGAAUUCCCGGUGUAGCGGUGGAAUGCGUAGAGAUCUGGAGGAAUACCAGAGGCGAAGGCGGCUUGCUGGGGUGGAAUUGACGCUCAGACACGAAAGCAUGGGGAGCGAACGGG
rnacentral:rRNA from 1 species